rnacentral:rRNA from 1 species
ACGUGGGUAACGUGCCCGAGAGAUGGGAAUAACAGACGGAAACGUAUGCUAAUACCCAAUGGUCAGAGAGUAUAACAGGAUACUUUCUGUAAAGGUCCGGCGCUGUAUGAUCUCGCCCGCGGUGGAUUAGCCUGUUGGUGAGGUAACGGCUCACCAAAGCGACUAUCCAUAGCCGUUCUGAGAGGAUGGCCGGUCACUCUGGGACUGAUACAUGGUCCAUACUCCUACGGGAGUUAGCAUCAUGGAAUCUUGCACAAUGAGCGAAAGCUUGAUGCAGCGACGCCGCGUGAGGGAUGACGGCCUGCGGGUUGUAAACCUCUGUCAGGAAGGACGAAACCACCUUCGUGUUGCUGACGGUACCUCCAAAGGAAGCCCCGGAUAAUUACGUGCCAAUAUCCGGGGUAAAACGUGAGGCGCUAGCGUCGUCCGGAAUUACUGGGCGUACCGAGCACGUAGGCGGCCUAGCAAGCGGCAUGUGAAAUCUCACGGUUCAACCGUGAUACUGCUUGCCGAACUGCUGGGCUAGAGUGCGGGAGACGACAGUGGAAUUCCUGGUGUAGCGGUGGAAUGCGUCAAUAUCAGGAAGAACACCUGUGUCGAAGGCUGCUGUCUGGAACGCGACUGACGCUGAGGUGCGAAAGCUAGGGUAGCGAACGGGAUUAGAUACCCCGGUAGUCCUAGCCGUAAACGAUGGACACUAGGUUUUGGAGCUUUCGACCCCUUCAGUGCUGCUAAGCAAACGCGUUAAGUGUCCCGCCUGGGGAGUACGUCCGCAAGGUUGAAACUCAAAGGAAUUGACGGGGGCCCGCACAAGCGGUGGAGCAUCCGGGUUAAUCGGAUGAUACGCCGAGAACCUUACCAGGGCUUGACAUGUUUCUGACCGCCUAUGAAAGUAGGUUUCUUGCGCAAGCAAGCGGAAUCACAGGUGGUGCAUGGUUGUCGUCAGCUCGUGUCGUGAGAUGUUGGGUUAAGUCCCGCAACGAGCGCAACCACUCGCCAGAUGUUGCCAGCGGUUUGGCCGGGCACUCUUCUGGGACUGCCCGAGUAAUCGUGAGGAAGGAGAGGACGACGUCAAAUCGGCAUGCCCCUUACGUCAUGGUCUGCACGCGUGCUACAAUGGCGAGUACAACGGGUAGCCAAACCGCGAGCUGGAGCUAAUCACUUCAAAACUCGUCCCAGUUCGGAUCGGAUGUCUGCAACUUGACUCCGUGAAGUUGGAAUCG